rnacentral:tRNA from 1 species
GAAGACUAAAUUCUCUAAAAGACCGCCACCUUGACAGGGUGGCGGUCGCUGGUUCGAGACCAGUCGGGAUCA